UGUAAAUUGGCCGUUAAGAAAUAUUUUGACAGCUUAAACAUCUUCAAACCGUCUUUGUCGCGAUUGAUGCUUCGCAUUUUUCAGUAAAAAUAUCCCCUUCUGGGAAGUGUUUAGUGUUGACUGUAGAGCCACAUUUAGUGAAUUUUUGGAUAUAGAGGCUUUUAUUUUGUUACAGAUGACACAUUUACGAAAUCAUACAACCUCAUACAGUAACAUUAGUGAAUAUAAACGUGACAUGUUUAUAAUUAUGCCAUUAGAAACAAGGGCUGUAAAGCCAUCGAGGCUCUGAAAGCACGGCUAAGUACUUCCGGAGAGUGUAUUACAGGUAACUUUGGGAGAUAAUUGUGGGCUUUAUCCCAACUUUUCUUUCAAUAACGUUCAUGCAGCUAUAGCAACAAAUAACAGUCUUUCAACCAUCAUGUAUCAUCGUCCAAACAUUUCAAAUAAGAAAAAGAAACAAUUAUUCAUUAACAAUGAGAGAUAAUUGACUAUCCCAACUUUCCUUUCAAGAACAGUCAUGCAACUAUAGCAACAAAUAACAGUCUUUGAACCAUCAUCAUCCACUAAACAUUUCACGGGUCAGUAUGCCAAUCCUCAAAACCAAACACAAUAUUGGGCUGCGAGUUAACUAACCUAAGCCUCACUGCUCAGCUAAACCCUUUCACUUUUAGAGUGUCAAAGAGUGUCAUAAUGCGGAGGGAGGGGGUGGGGGGGAAGAGGGAGUGUCAGAGCUAACUGUGGGCUUUGUAAGAGCUAACUGUGGGCGAGGAUGAGAGCGCAUGAGAGUUGGCAGGCUUUGUUUACAUUUCGGUAUCCAAAAUAUUGAAUUUUAUUCCACAACUAUUUAUAUUUUUAUGAUUCUAG